rnacentral:rRNA from 1 species
UACGAAGGGUGCAAGCGUUAAUCGGAACUACUGGGCGUAAAGCGUGCGUAGGCGGUUUGUUAAGUCUGUUGUGAAAUCCCCGGGCUCAACCUGGGAAUGGCAAUGGAUACUGGCAAGCUAGAGUGUGUCAGAGGAUGGUGGAAUUCCCGGUGUAGCGGUGAAAUGCGUAGAGAUCGGGAGGAACAUCAGUGGCGAAGGCGGCCAUCUGGGACAACACUGACGCUGAGGCACGAAAGCGUGGGGAGCAAACAGG